rnacentral:rRNA from 1 species
UAAUGGGUCAGCGACUUAUAUUCUGUAGCAAGGUUAACCGUAUAGGGGAGCCGAAGGGAAACCGAGUCUUAACUGGGCGUUAAGUUGCAGGGUAUAGACCCGAAACCCGGUGAUCUAGCCAUGGGCAGGUUGAAGGUUGGGUAACACUAACUGGAGGACCGAACCGACUAAUGUUGAAAAAUUAGCGGAUGACUUGUGGCUGGGGGUGAAAGGCCAAUCAAACCGGGAGAUAGCUGGUUCUCCCCGAAAGCUAUUUAGGUAGCGCCUCGUGAAUUCAUCUUCGGGGGUAGAGCACUGUUUCGGCUAGGGGGUCAUCCCGACUUACCAACCCGAUGCAAACUGCGAAUACCGAAGAAUGUUAUCACGGGAGACACACGGCGGGUGCUAACGUCCGUCGUGAAGAGGGAAACAACCCAGACCGCCAGCUAAGGUCCCAAAGUCAUGGUUAAGUGGGAAACGAUGUGGGAAGGCACAGACAGCCAGGAUGUUGGCUUAGAAGCAGCCAUCAUUUAAAGAAAGCGUAAUAGCUCACUGGUCGAGUCGGCCUGCGCGGAAGAUGUAACGGGGCUAAACCAUGCACCGAAGCUGCGGCAGCGACACUAUGUGUUGUUGGGUAGGGGAGCGUUCUGUAAGCCGUUGAAGGUGUGCUGUGAGGCAUGCUGGAGGUAUCAGAAGUGCGAAUGCUGACAUAAGUAACGAUAAUGCGGGUGAAAAACCCGCACGCCGGAAGACCAAGGGUUCCUGUCCAACGUUAAUCGGGGCAGGGUGAGUCGACCCCUAAGGCGAGGCCGAAAGGCGUAGUCGAUGGGAAACAGGUUAAUAUUCCUGUACUUGGUGUUACUGCGAAGGGGGGACGGAGAAGGCUAUGUUAGCCGGGCGACGGUUGUCCCGGUUUAAGCAUGUAGGCGGAGGUUC